GGGUAGGUAGGAUCGGGGUGCUAGCCGUACCCCGUACCGAAAAUCGGCUUUAUGUCGGGAUCAGUAACCGUUAGGUAAAUUCGUGAAUGGGAGGUACCCGCUCAUUCGACUAGGAUGAAAUCAUGCCGUAUCGGAUGGCUAUGAGCAGCAACUUACAUGAAGGUGUAAAAUUGACUGUGGAUUGUUGAAAUGGGUGAGGUCCGGGAGGGAGCAACCCUAAGGCAUCGCAGCCGUGCUGUUACGUCUACGUGAUGGAUUUGGGAGGAUUUGAAAUGGGGCCUUUUAUUCACGUUGGUACUAACGGGCUACCCUACUC
rnacentral:SRP_RNA from 1 species